AGUGAACGCUGGCGGUAGGCCUAACACAUGCAAGUCGAACGGCAGCACAGAGGAGCUUGCUCCUUGGGUGGCGAGUGGCGGACGGGUGAGGAAUACAUCGGAAUCUACUCUGUCGUGGGGGAUAACGUAGGGAAUCUUACGCUAAUACCGCAUACGACCUACGGGUGAAAGCAGGGGACCUUCGGGCCUUGCGCGAUUGAAUGAGCCGAUGCCGGAUUAGCUAGUUGGCGGGGUAAAGGCCCACCAAGGCGACGAUCCGUAGCUGGUCUGAGAGGAUGAGCAGCCACACUGGAACUGAGACACGGUCCAGACUCCUACGGGAGGCAGCAGUGGGGAAUAUUGGACAAUGGGCGCAAGCCUGAUCCAGCCAUACCGCGUGGGUGAAGAAGGCCUUCGGGUUGUAAAGCCCUUUUGUUGGGAAAGAAAUCCAGCUGGCUAAUACCCGGUUGGGAUGACGGUACCCAAAGAAUAAGCACCGGCUAACUUCGUGCCAGCCGCCGCCGUAA
rnacentral:rRNA from 1 species